UCUCAGACUCUAAGACAAAGAAAGAUGCAAUGCCAGGUGUCUGUGGCUCUGGAUUAGAGCACGUGGAAGCUCUCUGCUGGUCUGAAUGCCUGCAUCAUGUUCAGUCCUCUCUAAUCACGUUCUUUCUCCUCUCUCUGGGAUAGUUCCUGGACUUCAAACACUUAGGAACAUUUCUGGUGUUUGAGGAGCUGGUGACCUUCGAGGAUGUGUUUGUGGACUUCAGCCCAGAGGAAUUGAGCUCCCUUAGUGCUGCUCAGAGAAACCUCUACAGGGAGGUGAUGCUGGAGAAUUACUGGAACCUGGUCUCCCUGGGGUACCAGUUCUCUAAACCUGACAUUAUCUCACGCCUGGAAGAGGAGGAAUCACGUGCAAUGGAGACAGACAGCAGACAUACAGUGAUUUGUCAAAGAGAGUCUCAUGAUGAUCCAUUGGAACCACACCAGGGCAACCAAGAGAAACUUUUGAGUCCUAUAACAAUGAAUGACCCCAAGACCCUCACUCCAGAAAGAAGCUAUGGCAGUGAUGAAUUUGAAAGAAGCUCUAAUCUUAGUGAACAAUC
rnacentral:sRNA from 1 species